rnacentral:rRNA from 1 species
AGUGAACGCUGGCGGUAGGCCUAACACAUGCAAGUCGAACGGCAGCACAGGAGAGCUUGCUCUCUGGGUGGCGAGUGGCGGACGGGUGAGGAAUACAUCGGAAUCUACUUUUUCGUGGGGGAUAACGUAGGGAAACUUGCGCUAAUACCGCAUACGACCUACGGGUGAAAGCAGGGGAUCUUCGGACCUUGCGCGAUUGAAUGAGCCGAUGUCGGAUGAGCUAGUUGGCGGGGUAAAGACCCACCAAGGCGACGAUCCGUAGCUGGUCUGAGAGGAUGAUCAGCCACACUGGAACUGAGACACGGUCCAGACUCCUACGGGAGGCAGCAGUGGGGAAUAUUGGACAAGGGGCGCAAGCCUGAUCCAGCCAUACCGCGUGGGUGAAGAAGGCCUUCGGGUUGUAAAGCCCUUUUGUUGGGAAAGAAAUCCAGCUGGUUAAUACCCGGUUGGGAUGACGGUACCCAAAGAAUAAGCACCGGCUAACUUCGUGCCAGCCGCCGCCGUAA